rnacentral:tRNA from 1 species
GCCGAAGUGGUGAAACUGGUAGACGCGCUGCGUUCAGGGCGCAGUUUCCGCAAGGGAGUGGGGGUUCGAGUCCCCCCUUCGGCACCA